rnacentral:rRNA from 1 species
CCUACGGGGGGCAGCAGUGGGGAAUAUUGCACAAUGGGCGCAAGCCUGAUGCAGCCAUGCCGCGUGUGUGAAGAAGGCCUUCGGGUUGUAAAGCACUUUCAGCGGGGAGGAAGGCGGUGAGGUUAAUAACCUCAUCGAUUGACGUUACCCGCAGAAGAAGCACCGGCUAACUCCGUGCCAGCAGCCGCGGUAAUACGGAGGGUGCAAGCGUUAAUUGGAAUUACUGGGCGUAAAGCGCACGCAGGCGGUCUGUCAAGUCGGAUGUGAAAUCCCCGGGCUCAACCUGGGAACUGCAUUCGAAACUGGCAGGCUAGAGUCUUGUAGAGGGGGGUAGAAUUCCAGGUGUAGCGGUGAAAUGCGUAGAGAUCUGGAGGAAUACCGGUGGCGAAGGCGGCCCCCUGGACAAAGACUGACGCGCAGGUGCGAAAGCGUGGGAGCAAACAGGAUUAGAUACCCCUGUAGUC